GGCUGGAUAGCUCAGUUGGUAGAGCACCGGAACUGCAAUCUGGAGGACGCAGGUUCAAACCCCGAUCCAGUCA
rnacentral:tRNA from 1 species